rnacentral:rRNA from 1 species
UGGGGGAUAUUGCACAAUGGGCGAAAGCCUGAUGCAGCGACGCCGCGUGGGGGAUGAAGGCCUUCGGGUUGUAAACUUCUUUUGCUCUGAACAAGGCGCACUAUGGGGUGUGUUGAGUGUAGGGGUUGAUUAGCGCCGGCUAACUACGUGCCAGCAGCCGCGGUAAUACGUAGGGCGCGAGCGUUGUCCGGAAUUAUUGGGCGUAAAGGGCUUGUAGGUGGCUGGUUGCGUCUGUCGUGAAAGCUCAUGGCUUAACUGUGGGUUUGCGGUGGGUACGGGCUGGCUUGAGUACAGUAGGGGAGGCUGGAAUUCCUGGUGUAGCGGUGGAAUGCGCAGAUAUCAGGAGGAAUACCGGUGGCGAAGGCGGGUCUCUGGGCUGUUACUGACACUGAGGAGCGAAAGCAUGAGGAGCGAACAGG